AAAAAUGUUAGCUAAUUAAGCUAAUGGGUUCAUACCCCAUUUAUAGAGGUACUAGUCCUCUCCUUUUUA
rnacentral:tRNA from 1 species